rnacentral:rRNA from 1 species
CAAUAGCGUAUAUUAAAGUUGUUGCGGUUAAAAAGCUCGUAGUUGGAUUUCUGCUUUGGACGACCGGUCCGCCCUGUGGGUUGGCAUCUGGAUCGGCCUGGGCAUCUUCUUGGGGAACGUAGCUGCACUUGACUGUGUGGUGCGGUAUCCAGGACUUUUACCUUGAGGAAAUUAGAGUGUUUCAAGCAGGCGCACGCCUUGAAUACAUUAGCAUGGAAUAAUAAGAUAGGACCUCGGUUCUAUUUUGUUGGUUUCUAGAGCUGAGGUAAUGAUUAAUAGGGAUAGUUGGGGGCAUUCGUAUUUAACUGUCAGAGGUGAAAUUCUUGGAUCUGUUAAAGACGGACUACUGCGAAAGCAUUUGCCAAGGAUGUUUUCAUUGA